CAGAUUUAAAGUUAGGUAGUCAGUGUAGUUAGGUAAAUCGGGUCUAAUACCGAGUGAAAUCUAAAAUGGAGGCCAUGCUGGCAAUGAUUCCGGGAAACGCAGGACAACUCAAGGAAUGUUAAUGAAGUCCUAAAAGGCCCUAGGCCAAAGUCCACCUCAAAGAAAUGUUAAUGAACAGCCCCCAGCAAAAAGGUGCUGACUCAGAAGUCCUUCCUGACCUGAUUACUUCUUUGGCCCACCUGUGUCCCACCCCUCGGUCCUUCCCACCUACAUUCCAUUACUGAAAGAACUAUAAAAAGGGAAGACAACAUCCCUUCCACGGAUUCCACCUCUUGGGUCCCCUUCUUCCUCCGGGAGAAGUCUUUUCUGCUGUCCUUUAAUAAACUUCUAAUUUCUACUCUGACCUUGCCUCGGCGUGCUUCUUUGGUGUUAUUCUUCAACAUUGGGGAAGCAAGAACUCGUCACCGGUCAACAGCGGUAACAUAUUGGAGGUCCCAGACCGAGAUUCUACACCGAGACCAUCCAUCACUCAAAUGGCCCUCCAGCCUAUUACUUCUCAAUCAGACUUCUAUCAUGGACCACUCGAUAGACCCGAUUUUUAAAGGGGGACUCCAAACUGCUUGCCCCACACCGUCCCUUUUCAGCCUGAAGAAGCCAGAGAGAUUCUCUUCGCCCCCCUUCCUUACAGCAGUAAGGAGUUCCCAACUUAGAGGGGGGAAUGAAGCCAGAUUUAAAGUUAGGUAGUCAGUGUAGUUAGGUAAAUCGGGUCUAAUACCGAGUGAAAUCUAAAAUGGAGGCCAUGCUGGCAAUGAUUCCGGGAAACGCAGGACAACUCAAGGAAUGUUAAUGAAGUCCUAAAAGGCCCUAGGCCAAAGUCCACCUCAAAGAAAUGUUAAUGAACAGCCCCCAGCAAAAAGGUGCUGACUCAGAAGUCCUUCCUGACCUGAUUACUUCUUUGGCCCACCUGUGUCCCACCCCUCGGUCCUUCCCACCUACAUUCCAUUACUGAAAGAACUAUAAAAAGGGAAGACAACAUCCCUUCCACGGAUUCCACCUCUUGGGUCCCCUUCUUCCUCCGGGAGAAGUCUUUUCUGCUGUCCUUUAAUAAACUUCUAAUUUCUA